AGUUUGAUCCUGGCUCAGGAUGAACGCUGGCGGCGUGCUUAACACAUGCAAGUCGAACGAAGCACCUUGAUUUGAUUCUUCGGAUGAAGAUCCUGGUGACUGAGUGGCGGACGGGUGAGUAACGCGUGGGUAACCUGCCUCAUACAGGGGGAUAACAGUUAGAAAUGACUGCUAAUACCGCAUAAGACCACAGCACCGCAUGGUGCAGGGGUAAAAACUCCGGUGGUAUGAGAUGGACCCGCGUCUGAUUAGGUAGUUGGUGGGGUAACGGCCUACCAAGCCGACGAUCAGUAGCCGACCUGAGAGGGUGACCGGCCACAUUGGGACUGAGACACGGCCCAAACUCCUACGGGAGGCAGCAGUGGGGAAUAUUGCACAAUGGGGGAAACCCUGAUGCAGCGACGCCGCGUGAGCGAUGAAGUAUUUCGGUAUGUAAAGCUCUAUCAGCAGGGAAGAAAAUGACGGUACCUGACUAAGAAGCACCGGCUAAAUACGUGCCAGCAGCCGCGGUAAUACGUAUGGUGCAAGCGUUAUCCGGAUUUACUGGGUGUAAAGGGAGCGUAGACGGAGUGGCAAGUCUGAUGUGAAAACCCGGGGCUCAACCCCGGGACUGCAUUGGAAACUGUCAAUCUAGAGUACCGGAGAGGUAAGCGGAAUUCCUAGUGUAGCGGUGAAAUGCGUAGAUAUUAGGAGGAACACCAGUGGCGAAGGCGGCUUACUGGACGGUAACUGACGUUGAGGCUCGAAAGCGUGGGGAGCAAACAGGAUUAGAUACCCUGGUAGUCCACGCCGUAAACGAUGACUACUAGGUGUCGGGCAGCAAAGCUGUUCGGUGCCGCAGCAAACGCAAUAAGUAGUCCACCUGGGGAGUACGUUCGCAAGAAUGAAACUCAAAGGAAUUGACGGAAG
rnacentral:rRNA from 1 species